UGGUAUUCUCGUUUUCGUAUUAGCAUAAGUAGGUGAUUAAGAAAGCACAAGAGAUGGCUGUUGGCAAGGCAUUCCUCAUCAUUUGCGUCGUAUUAUUCAUUCUGCCUGAGAUGUUGGUGGUAUGUAACUGCAAAAGAGCAUUCGUAGGCGAUUCCUCUCCUCUACCUUCGCCAAGUUCGCAAGUGUAUCCAAAUCCUUCAAGUCCUAGUCCAGGAUGCUUCCUCCCAACAUCGACGGCCCAAGUGAGACCUGCACACUAUUGCAGCCCAGGGCCUCCGUAACAUCGUUGAUCAAUUUGGUUCAUUUGGUAUCCAUAUGUAUGAAGCACUUCCUAAAUUUCUAUUCUGAUGUUACAUAUAGCUUAUGGUCAUCUCAAUACUUGCAGGUGUUGAGAGGUAGUGGAAUUUAUUAUUAUUAUUAAUAUGUGUGUACGUGUUUUCUUUUAUUUUUGUUUUACUAAAAUAAGGACUUCUCAAUUUUUCGAGGAA